UCUGAGUCGACAUUGUACCAACGUGCAUGUUUGCAACUUUCACCACGACAAGCCUGUCUGCUAUUACAGAUACAGAAGCAGUUGCAGAUGGCUGCCGUAAAGCACAUUUCUGUUAUUACCGGAUACUCAUCCCGUACCCCCAUGUUGUGGGAAAUCUGUCUGGUCAACGACAAGUAUUUGUGUACAGAAACAUGGGCCUGUCCUGGCUGGAUGGAAGACGCUGGUGCAGGAAACUGGUCGGUGUUGCUGUGUGAAGAUUGUAACAGCAGCUGUCACAACGCAUGCAUUGAAACUUCACAACAGGUACUACAGAUAAGUACUCCAGCUUCCGACAGGGCAGACGAACAGAACUACUCUGUACAAUUGCCAAUACAAACUUAAACUUACAAGGUUUUUUAGAUGAAAAACCGAUAUGCACGCAUAUCAAAGGCAACUGUUUAAGUUUACCAAAGCACAACGAGAAACGUUUU